AUUGAACGCUGGCGGCAUGCCUUACACAUGCAAGUCGAACGGCAGCACGGGAGCAAUCCUGGUGGCGAGUGGCGAACGGGUGAGUAAGGUAUCGGAACGUGCUCAGUCGUGGGGGAUAACGUAGCGAAAGUUACGCUAAUACCGCAUACGAUCUAUGGAUGAAAGCGGGGGAUCGCAAGACCUCGCGCGAUUGGAGCGGCCGAUAUCAGAUUAGGUAGUUGGUGGGGUAAAGGCUCACCAAGCCGACGAUCUGUAGCUGGUCUGAGAGGACGACCAGCCACACUGGGACUGAGACACGGCCCAGACUCCGACGGGAGGCAGCAGUGGGGAAUUUUGGACAAUGGGCGAAAGCUUGAUCCAGCCAUGCCGCGUGCAGGAUGAAGGCCUUCGGGUUGUAAACUGCUUUUGUACGGAACGAAAAGGUUUGGCCUAAUAAGCUGAGCUCAUGACGGUACCGUAAGAAUAAGCACCGGCUAACUACGUGCCAGCCGCCGCCGUAA
rnacentral:rRNA from 1 species